ACUAGACAGUAGGCUUGAUCAAAUAUCCAUACUCUCCAAUCAAGCUUUCGUUCCUUCUUAUCCAUUUUACGUGUUGCUGAAUCACACUUCCCAACGUUCCUCUUCGAACGGUGGCGGACGAUGAUUUUCAGGCGGGUUUCCCAGCAGAAGAAGCUUUGGAACUCCGGCCGGGGAUGGCGGUGGCACUCUUGUUCCUCUUCAACUCCGCCGCACACGGCGGCGGUUUAUCAGUUAAAACCUCCACUUCUAGGGUUCCGUAAUCAAUCAUCGGCAUCGUUUUCCUCAACCUAUAAGCAUAACGACUUUCCAUAUGGUACGAUGAUACGCUGCUUUUCAAGCCAUGCUUCAGUCAAUCUUCCAGUUGGAAAGAUAAUUGACGUGCCUUUGGCACAAACUGGUGAAGGUAUAGCUGAAUGUGAACUGCUCAAAUGGUUUGUGCAAGAGGGGGAUCAAGUUGAAGAAUUUCAACCACUUUGUGAGGUUCAGAGUGACAAAGCAACCAUAGAAAUAACAAGUCGUUACGAAGGAAAAGUUUCUCAAAUUCUACAUGUUCCUGGUGACAUUGUAAAGGUUGAAGAAACUCUUCUGAAGAUAUUUGUUAAUGAAUCUCCAGUUCCAACGGAGAUUUAUGGUAGUUUGGAUAAUAAGUCGUUGGGUUCUGAGAUAUGUGACUCAAGCAGUCAAACAAAUCCAGUGCCAAAUAAAACUAACAAUCUUGGAGUUCUAUCCACACCUGCCGUUCGGAAUCUUGCAAAGGAAUACAACAUAAAUAUAAGUGAUGUCUGCGGAACCGGUAAAGAUGGAAGGAUACUAAGAGAAGACGUCCUCAAAUAUGCUGUCCACAAAGGAAUCAUGAAAGAAACAUCUGCCUCCUUAAGUGCUACAUCUGUAGAACAGUUGCUGGGAGGAGAAGAAGAAUAUUCAAAUGCAUCUGCUGCAGAGGGAUGGCAUUAUGAAGAUAAAACUGUCCAACUGAGGGGAUUCCAGCGCACAAUGGUUAAAUCAAUGACCCUGGCUGCUAAAAUUCCUCAUUUUUAUUAUGUAGAAGAGAUAAAUUGUGACACACUUGUGGAGCUUAAAGCAUCUUUUCAGAGCGAGAAUUCUGAUCCAGAUGUCAAGUACACUUUCCUUCCAAUCUUGAUAAAGUCACUUUCAGUGGCACUGAGCAAAUAUCCAUUGCUAAAUAGUUGCUUCAAUGAGGAGUUGCACGAGGUCACCCUUAAAGGCUCCCAUAAUAUCGGAAUAGCCAUGGCUACUCCAUCUGGUCUAGUUGUACCAAAUAUAAAGAAGGUUCAGUCACUUUCCUUCUUGGAGAUAACGAAGGAAUUAUCACGGUUACAACAAUUGGCUCUCGCUAACAAACUAAGCCCUGAAGAUAUAUCUGGUGGAACUAUAACUUUAAGCAAUAUUGGAGCUAUUGGUGGAAAGUUUGGUUCCCCACUCCUCAACAUCCCUGAAGUUUCUAUCAUUGCAAUUGGCCGAAUUCAGAAAGUUCCUCAAUUUGCGAAUGAUGGAAAUGUGUAUCCUGCGUCAGUCAUGAGUGUAAAUAUAGGUGCUGAUCAUAGAGUUCUGGACGGGGCAACUGUUGCAAGGUUUUGCAAUGAGUGGAAACUAUUUAUCGAAAAACCAGAGCUGCUCAUGCUACAUAUGAAGUGACCGGUCUUCCGCGUGACUGGCAGCGAGAUGUUUGUUUUCAGCCUAUGUAAUUCCUCUUUGCAGCUCCUUCCCUUUUCCUUUACUAUUUCCUUACAUUGAGCUGAGGUAAAAAGAUCAAUCUCAGGGAAGCACAAUUCAGUGUCAGCAGGAUUCGACUGAGAGAGCGAACCAUUUGGGUUCAUAUACAAACCAAAUCGGAAAGAAAUAGAUGCACGUGUGAAUCUCUGAUGGUGAACAUUGAUAUGCACUUGUGAAUCUGUGGGAGUCUGGGGGUAGUCACACACCUGCUAACUCAACUCACUUACUCAAACUCAGAAUGUCAUAAGUAGUGAUCAAAUACUGAUUUGAUGAUAAUUAUUAGCUGAAAUCGACACAACCUAUGGCAUGCUACGAGUGCCUUGCUAACACUGCUCUUGGCCGGAAUACUCGGCUUGUUGGUGACAUUCUGUUAGAAAUAAAAUCUUUCAGGGUUUCAGGACCAUGAUUAAUUUCGACAGAUUCACGGAGUCACCUUCAAUCUCUUUUGCCCAUGCAUUGAGCAAGUACAGGAUAUAGUCGAACCGCAUGGGAUGGUUGCUCCAAUGUUCUUCAUACAGGUUGGUUAAAUCAUUGGCUUAGAAGUUGGCAAUUAACUGGAUAUGUGCUUGACCUUUGAAAAAAUGUGUUCGUGAUGCCUGAACCUUGGAAAAUUUCUUGCUUGGGCUGGUCAUUUUCAAUUUUAGAGUGCUCAAAGAACACCUGUUUGUUUCUCAGGAAAGAAGAUUUUUAAUAAUGAGCUGGCACUUGCGUUUUAACUAUCACAUCCUCAACUCGUAGUUCUGAUCCCAUCAAACAUGCAUGUAUACACAAGAAAAAUGAUACAUAGAUUUAUCAUUAUAUUGAUGUUUAUUUGUUUAUUUAUUUGUCCAA